rnacentral:rRNA from 1 species
AUUGAACGCUGGCGGAAUGCUUUACACAUGCAAGUCGAACGGCAGCACGGACUUCGGUCUGGUGGCGAGUGGCGAACGGGUGAGUAAUGUAUCGGAACGUGCCCAGUCGUGGGGGAUAACGUAGUGAAAAUUACGCUAAUACCGCAUACGAUCUAUGGAUGAAAGCGGGGGAUCGCAAGACCUCGCGCGAUUGGAGCGGCCGAUAUCAGAUUAGGUAGUUGGUGGGGUAAAGGCCCACCAAGCCAACGAUCUGUAGCUGGGCUGAGAGGACAACCAGCCACACUGGAACUGAGACACGGUCCAGACUCCUACGGGAGGCAGCCGUGGGGAAUUUUGGACAAUGGGCGAAAGCCUGAUCCAGCCAUUCCGCAUGCAGGAUGAAGGCCCUCGGGUUGUAAACUGCUUUUGUACAGAACGAAAAGGUUUCUACUAAUACUAGGAGCUCAUGACGGUACUGUAAGAAUAAGCACCGGCUAACUACGUGCCAGCAGCCGCAGUAA